GGACGAACGCUGGCGGCGUGCUUAACACAUGCAAGUCGAACGGAAAGGCUCUGCUUUUGUGGGGUGCUCGAGUGGCGAACGGGUGAGUAACACGUGAGUAACCUGCCCUUGACUUUGGGAUAACUUCAGGAAACUGGGGCUAAUACCGGAUAGGAGCUCCUGCUGCAUGGUGGGGGUUGGAAAGUUUCGGCGGUUGGGGAUGGACUCGCGGCUUAUCAGCUUGUUGGUGGGGUAGUGGCUUACCAAGGCUUUGACGGGUAGCCGGCCUGAGAGGGUGACCGGCCACAUUGGGACUGAGAUACGGCCCAGACUCCUACGGGAGGCAGCAGUGGGGAAUAUUGCACAAUGGGCGGAAGCCUGAUGCAGCAACGCCGCGUGCGGGAUGACGGCCUUCGGGUUGUAAACCGCUUUCGCCUGUGACGAAGCGUGAGUGACGGUAAUGGGUAAAGAAGCACCGGCUAACUACGUG
rnacentral:rRNA from 1 species